UACGUAGGGGCCGAGCGUUGUCCGGAAUCAUUGGGCGUAAAGAGCGUGUAGGCGGCCACUUAAGUCCUGCGUGAAAUCUUGCGGCUCAACCGCAAGCGGUCGUGGGAAACUGGGUGGCUAGAGUGCGGGAGAGGAGAGUGGAAUUCCUGGUGUAGCGGUGGAAUGCGCAGAUAUCAGGAAGAACACCCGUGGCGAAGGCGGCUCUCUGGAACGCAACUGACGCUGAGACGCGAAAGCGUGGGGAGCAAACAGG
rnacentral:rRNA from 1 species